GCCCCUGCUAUUUCUUCCUGUCAAGAGAUCCACCUGUUCUGUUAAUUAAACUUUGGGACAUUGAAACACAGGCUUAGGGCAGAUGAUUGGAUAGAAAGCAUUGCUCUAUUCAUUUACCUCCCAGCCUACAAAA